rnacentral:rRNA from 1 species
UGGGGAAUAUUGGACAAUGGGGGGAACCCUGAUCCAGCCAUGCCGCGUGUGUGAAGAAGGCCUUAUGGUUGUAAAGUACUUUAAGCGAGGAGGAGGGUACUGGUAUUAAUACUACCAGGUACUGGACGUUACUCGCAGAAUAAGCACCGGCUAACUCUGUGCCAGCAGCCGCGGUAAUACAGAGGGUGCGAGCGUUAAUCGGAUUUACUGGGCGUAAAGCGUGCGUAGGCGGCUAAUUGAGUCGGAUGUGAAAUCCCCGAGCUUAACUUGGGAAUUGCAUUCGAUACUGGUUAGCUAGAGUGUGGGAGAGGAUGGUAGAAUUCCAGGUGUAGCGGUGAAAUGCGUAGAGAUCUGGAGGAAUACCGAUGGCGAAGGCAGCCAUCUGGCCUAACACUGACGCUGAGGUACGAAAGCAUGGGGAGCAAACAGG